rnacentral:lncRNA from 1 species
GAAAUAAUGUAGCUAGGGGAAAAUAAUAUAGCCGGUGGGAAAUAAUAUAGCUAGGGAGAAAUAAUGUAGCUAGGGGGAAAUAAUAUAGGUUGGGUGGAAAUAAUGUAGCUAGGGGAAAAUAAUGUAGUUAGGGAGAAAUAAUGUAGCUAGGGAGAAAUAAUGUAGCUAGGGAGAAAUAAUAUAUGUUGGGGGGUUAAUAAUAUAGCUAGGGGGAAAUAAUAUAGCUAUGGAGAAAUAAUGUAGCUAGGGAGAAAUAAUGUAGCUAGCGGGAAAUAAUAUAGGUUGGGGGGAAAUAAUGUAGCUAGGGGAAAAUAAUGUAGUUAGGGAGAAAUAAUGUAGCUAUGGAGAAAUAAUGUAGCUAGGGAGAAAUAAUAUAGGUUGGGGGUAAAUAACAUAGCUAGGGGGAAAUAAUAUAGAUUGGGGGGAAAUAAUAUAGCAAGGGAGAAAUAAUGUAGCUAGGGAGAAAUAUUGUAGCUAGGGGGAAAUAAUAUAGCUAGGGAGAAAUAAUGUAGCUAGGGAGAAAUAAUGUAGCUAGGGGGAAAUUAUAUAGGUUGGGGGGAAAUAAUAUAGCUAGGG